AGGUUUAGGUUAUAGGUUAAGGUUUUAAGUCAUAGGUUUUGGUUUAGGUUAAGGUUAUCGGUAUAGGUUAAGGUUUUAGGUCAUAGGUUUUGGUUUAAGUUAAGGUUAUAGUUAUAGGUUAAGGUUUUAGGUCAAAGGUUUUGGUUUGGGUUAAGGUUAUAGGUUUAGGUUAAG